UCAUUUUCUCCCUUACCUUUUUACACGUUGAAUUUUUUCCAAAAAUCCAUAAAAGAGGGUUAUCAGGCAUUGGAUAUAAAUGGUGGUUAUAGAUCUUGAAGUGUCAGUUUUACAUUGUACACCACACACUGCUACUACACUACUGCAAUAAAUUUAUGAAAUCCGUUAUAAAAUUCCAACUAAUCAAAAAUUAAUUUAUACGCAAAUAAUAAAAGUACUAUCUCCAAAAAUUCGAGAACGUACGGAUUCAAAUAUCGAUUCUCUGCGCGAUGUAUCACUCAUCGAUACGAUCACAGCGCCACAAGUGUCAAAACGCAGUAUCAUCGUUUAUUUUGCGCAGGUGCAUCGUGUAUGUGAUUAGUCAUUGUACUUUUUGUGAAGCAAUUAAUAGUAUAAGACUAAAAUUGGAGAAUUCAAUAGCGUGAGGUAAUAAUGCAGUGUGUAAGUGUAAAUAGUGCAGAGCUAUUAACAACGAAAUUAUGGAACGGAAUCUUAAAUAUAACAAAUUCCUCCAAAAAUCUCAACGACGAGACUAUUGCAUUGUUCUUUGUAAUGAUGCAAUCAUACUAAAUAAUGCUAUAUAAACGUACAUUUGAGUGGCUGCAUCUGUUAAUUCAAAUAUUUAAAGCCACUUCAUUAAGAAAACCAUAUACAUUAUUCUGUACUUAUUAGUGUUAAAGUAACUGAGAUAUUUGCAUAAAAUUAUUCUAUUAGUGACAUAAAUUACGAAAUCUUGUGACAAGAAAAGGAAUUACAUGUCACAGCUACCCUUCGUUUCAUCUGUUCUACAAUACAUACAUAUAUUCAUCUAUUAUACAUAUACAUAUAUGUUUAAUUCGUACGUUUUGAGAUUUAGGGUAUGAGUAUGAAUAAUAAAUUAAUAUACCAUAGGUCAAGUAAAAUAUAUAUCAAAAAUAUACCUUCAUUUCAUUCUCAAUAUUGCUCGUUGAAUUUUACUUGGUCAAAUGAAAUUAAUAAAUGUACAUAUAUUUCUCUUCUAAUAUGACCAUAAUUUCGAACUCACUCAUUUACUUUUAUCUUUCGUACUGUUCACUGUUUGAAGACAUUUCUCUCAAAGUGUUUUGAAGAAUUUACCGAUUCGUAUUCGGAUACGCUUGACUUAACGCCGAGUAAAACAUUCCCACCACUGUUUCGCAUGACGAAACGUAAUAUGGAGAACCAUUCAGUUGUCGGGGAGAUGUAUCAAUUCGCGUCGCAAAACCUAUUAACUGCGUAAUAAUUUGUUCCGUCACUAGUUUGCUGCCUUUAUAUACUACUAUUAGGUUUGUUUAAUUAUCACACAUCCACUUAUUCGAGUAUUAAAGACUAUUAUGAUAAAAUUAAAUAACUUUUUCUAUUUUUGUUUGUUCUUUCUUUUUGACGUAUAUUUUACUGUUAAUCUUACUGAUAGUUUGUAUUAUUUGCUUUUGAAAUAGGUUUUGAGUUUGUUUAUCGUUUCGUAUUAAUUCAUAAAUGAUCAAGAAUGUUUCAUUUAUCAUUUUAUUGUUUAUUAUUUUAUUGUUUAAUCAUUUUAUUGCUUCAAUUCAUUAUUCUGAAAUAGAUCUUUGAAUAGUCAUAGUAGGUUAUGAAUAAUAUCUUGCUGUACUUCCCGCGCGAAUUCUCUAUAGUAGCGUCAUCUCCUGAUUUUUUUCAAUAACUUUUAUUAUUUCUAUAAUGCGACGCCAUUACAAACAUGUUUAACUUUUGACGCGUUAUAUUAUCGUGCUCUUCAAGUAAGUUUAACCGAGCAACUUUUAUUUGUUGCAAAAGUUUUGUUAAAAAAUUAGUUACAUUGUAUUUACAAUAUUUUUAAAUAUUUGAGAUAUUUUCUAAUAUUCAUAUCUAUUUUAAGGACAUAUUCCAUUUGUCCCAGACAUAUUCCAUUUUCGUAAUAUUGGUUAUGGUACUUUGAAAUAAUAUAUGUAAAUAACAAUCAUUUCUCUUUACAAAAGCUAAUAUGAAUAUAGUAAAAUAUGAAAAUAAAAUAUAGUACUCUUUUUUCUACUAAUACAGCGUUUUUUUAGUAAAUGUUUGUUAUCGUGACCGCGCGCAAUGCGGUCUGUAUAAUCUAAUUAUAAUAAUCAUAUGCGAAAUUAGAGUCAGUGUUUGUUCGCCGAUUAUUACAUAAACGAGCAUGUAGUUUUUUAUUUUUCGUUUUUUGUAUAUACAUUUUUUAAAUUUACAUUUUCGGCAUUAGAGUCAGUGCUUAACAGGAUACAGCCUCUCCACAACCUUAACAAUGUUUUCCACUACCUCGGCUUCUCCCUGUUCUCUGGAUCUGAUGGUGCUUUAAAAGCGAAGAAUGAAGUCCGAUAACUCUUCCUCGAUGACCUCUGUUAUGACCGCUUCUGGGCUAUUGCAGCAUCGAUGACGAUGACGAAUUUCUCCGCAUUGUGAGUCGCAUAUUUUUUUAUCCCUUCAUUCACUCAAUCAUGUCAUAGAACGAAAGGUCCGAAUCAACAUGGAUAACUGAUUGUAUUACGUAGAACUUUUAGCAAGCAUAAUAAUCGGGGGUAUCUUUUAUAUCUAUGAGUAGUAAUAUUUCCUUACUCUGUGUUUUAUUUAUUAGCUCAAGUAGGUCUUUUUGCACAACGAGAUUUUUUAUAUUCGUAAAAUAACAUUGAUGAUUAAAAUUUUAUAUCGGCAAUAUCAAUAUAAUGUUCAAUUAGCGUGAAUGAUAUAGUAUCGGUAAUUUACUUGUAUAUCUGUAGUUGAAAAUAUAUCAAACAAAGUUAUACUUUUUAAAUUCAAGUGUAUCCGAAAUAGAUAUUUGCAGAAAUCAAAUAUUUAUAGAAAUAUGAAUUAAGCAUCUAAUAGUUGAGAAUACUUGAGCAAUAAAAAUUACAAUGAUCACACAAUAAUAAAAGCAAUAUAAUUAUUAAUAAUUGUUAUUUCCAUUUUGUAUUUCAUAGUAAUAGUUUGCACAAUUUAAUUGUUUGAUUUUCGUAUUAUGAAUCUAAGUACAAUUCAAGAUACGAUUCUACUAAAGUUCAUGCUGCUACUAAUUCUUUUUGUACAAGAAAUAUUAAAGUUUGGAUAAUAUUAAGUUUUAUAUGCAAUAUAUCAACAAAUUUUGAACACUGCUUUUAUAUUUUCGAAAAUUAGAUUUGAAAACACAUUCAGCUGAGAUAAUUUGCGGUAGACAUUUCAUGUAUACCGCGUCUGUAACGUAAAUAUAACUAAAGCAUGGUUAAAAAUAAUCGAUCGUAUAGUUAUGUAAAUGUCAAUAGAAAAAUUCAUCGAUAUCUACAAAUAGUAUUUUUACAGUGAUCAAUGGUAGCUUUCGAGCUAACACUAAACAUAGAUUGAUAGGUCUGAAAAGCAGCAAAACAUCUAAUAGUCUGUACAUAUGAAAAUAAAAACACACGAAAUUUCGGUAAAUAAAAAAUAUAUUCGUUGUUUUUAGGAAUAAUUAGAAAUUAAAAUCUGUUAAAAUCUUAGCCCCUUGUAUUAUCGCAAGAACGAAGUAAAAACUACAAAGAUAUAAGAUUAUUCAUUUGAUCGAAUUUUACCUUCGUUUCGGAUAAAACAUGCCUGAGACAUUCUAAAAGCUUUUAUUUUUAUUUUAAUUAUCUAAUUUAUCGAAAACGGCGCUAAUCUUCCACUACUAAUACAUUUGUCGAAUUACUUCUACUAUACUAGUACUAAUAAUGUAAUUAAUAUAGUAAUAAUAAAUGAUACUAAACAUAUAGAUAAAAUAUUAAUCGCCGAAAUGAUAGUACGUAGUCUUUUAUCGCAUCAAGGGUAGGAAAGAUAAUUCGAAUCGCCUCUCUGAUUGUAGCACUCGUUGAAACACGAAUUGCGACUACCACCUCCUUCACUUGCAACCACUUUAAACCUCGUUCUGCGAUCGCUUGUUCUAUGGAAAAGGGAAAGAAAUUUCUUUCACGAAACUCUCGUUAGUUCGUGACAAGCACCGAGUAGGCGAUGCGAUAUACUCUUAGUAUUUGACUCAGCUUUUCCCUAUAUCCAAGUCAUCCUACAUAUUCGGCUUUUCCACGAAAUAUCGAAACACGAUCGCUGUCACAUACAGAAAUACCUGCUUCUGGAAAUUUCCUUGAUAAAGUUGACAAAUUUAAGAUCUUUCCUUCAUUCCGAAAAAAUAGCUGUUCUACUUCUGCUUCUAUAGAGCACAAAAUUCUAACUGGGUUCAUGUAUUGCGAAUAGAUCAAGAAGUUUGACAUAAGACUAAUCUUAUUCAUAUCGAAAGCAUAACGUCGGCGUUAAGUUUUUAUUU